rnacentral:rRNA from 1 species
UACGUAGGGGGCAAGCGUUGUCCGGAUUUAUUGGGCGUAAAGAGCGUGUAGGCGGCUAGAUAGGUCCGUUGUGAAAACUCGAGGCUCAACCUCGAGACGUCGAUGGAAACCAUCUGGCUAGAGUCCGGAAGAGGAGAGUGGAAUUCCAGGUGUAGCGGUGAAAUGCGUAGAUAUCUGGAGGAACACCGGUGGCGAAGGCGGCAUCCUGGACCGGUAUUGACGCUGAGGCGCGAAAGCCAGGGGAGCAAACGGGG